ensembl:lncRNA
UCAUCCUCAGCAACAGAGCCAAUUUUGUCUUUAUAGGGCAACCACUUUCCUAAGCAUAAAGCUGUAUGAACCUAUGGUUCCUGACUCAGAGUUAUUUUCUAUGUGUCUCCCAAGUCCAAGUUCUUUUUUUUUUUUUUUUAACCAUUACACACAACUAUUAGGAAGAAAUGAAAAGAGAACUAUGCUUGCUGAGAAAAUGGAAACAGUUUAAUACUGAGUGGGUGAUUCUCCCACUGGAGGGCUCCCAUCAGCUGCUAAAUUUUAGGGAAACUGUGCAAGACAGGUUUUUCAUAAUUUUUGCAUGCUUUCUACUGGGUCUAUUAGUCACUGUGAUCCAGAUGUGUACUCGAGAUUUAUAGUUGUUUACUUGGGAAGCAAAAUCUCAUAGGAAACAGGAAAGGGAUUUUUCAUUUAAAGAAUAAAUAUUUGUGUUCUAGAUGAAGAAGAAAGUGCCUUCCUGAGCUGAAUUUCUGCUGCUGGGUAGUUAACAGUCUGGUACAUAAUAAUACCACACAUUCAUUGACCGAGGGAUGGGCUCUGUGCUAACACAGUCUAAGCAUCACUCUUCUUCUUAAUCCUUACAAACCUUGUGAAGUAGGUGCUGUUCAGGGCUGCAUGUUUGCAGACGAAGAAGUAGGCUCAGAAAGACAAGAUGGGUUCGCUGAGAUUCUUCGGGUAGUUGAAAGGCAGAGCCAGGAUCUGAGCCCAGGCUGUGUAAUUCCAAGGCCACAUUUUUGGGCACCAUCCUAUCCUAUUUUGCUUGUAGCUUAUCCGAAACAACCUAAUUUCAAUCUGAUUUCUUUUUUUUUUUUUUUUUUCCCCAAACAGGACUACAUACUUGUAAUUCUGUCCAUGGAAGUAGGCCUCAGUUUCUGUGUUCAGAUGCGUCUCCGUGCUUCUCUUCACCAGGCAGCAGAGAACUUCUUCUGGUCCUGGAGUGUCUGCCUUGGGGAGGUAACGUGAUGCUUUGCUACAGGGACUUGGAUGAAGGGGAUGUCAGUGUAGACAGGUGACUUAGGAUAGGUUUCAUAGAAGCUGGAGUUGAGUUGGACCUUGAAGGACGUGCAGGUUCAAAGGAAGGACUGGUAAGGAAGGGGAGUGGGGUGGAUGGAGUGUAUCAUGUAGAGGGAAAAAAAAGUCAGAUGAGCCAAGAUUAAGUGUUGGAAUCGAGCCUCUCAGUAUAGACCAGGAAGCCUGAUAGGAGCACAAGGUAAUAUGUCUAUAUGCAGUGGGGGUAGGGACACAGGUUAAAUGGAUGAGGAAAUGAAAUUAAUGGAGGAUGUUAUGGAGCUGGCAGGAUUCCAAUGGCAAUAUUUUAGUGUGGGUUGUCUUUACAAACCAUCAAUGCCACACCUCACAUCUCACAGGUGAGGCAAUGGAAAUUCAGGGUGGCAAGGCAACUUUCUCAGGGUCUCAGAGAGUAUCAGGGGCGCACAAGUCAUUCAGUGCCUGCUCCCUGAUACAUUCCUGCCCUGUCCUUGGUCUGAUCAUAAACAUGAAGCCAUUGGAGGCUAGGAAGAAAAGAAGCUCUGCCAUGAUAGAAUUUUACUUUGCUGGAUGUACUGAACAGGGAAAAAAUAGGAAAUCAGAAGGGGAUCUAUCAUUAUAUUAAAAGUUUGAGGUAUAUAGCAUGGACUUGGGCUGCUGGGAAGGGGACAAAGUACAUAAUCAAAUACAUUAAAGGAGAAGUUUGCAGGACUCUGUAUAGGCCCAGAGAUAGGGAACGCAGGUUGAUUGCAAGCUGCAAAUUUUGGGUUCUUGUAGCGUAGGGACAUGGGGUAAGAUGAGAAUAUUAUGAGUUUGAGUCUGGAAAUGUUUGGUGAACAGACUUGGUGGUAGACACCCAGAAAUAGUCACCCAUUUAUUCAUCCAAUGAACAUUUAUUGAAUACUUGCUCUGAGUUACGGGGGGGUAUGUACUAGGGAUACACUGGCAAACGGGCAUGAUAUACAGGGAUGGGGACCUCCUAGAGUUUUGUUCUGGUGUUUCCUAGAGGAGACACAUGGCCAGAGGUGAGAGGCACACUCGUGGAGCCAUCAGCAGCUGUGGUGCUUGGUGAGUGAUCUCUCAUGGGCACUGAGUGCAGAGGGAACUGCACAUAACUGAGGACAGACCCUGAGGACCGCCGAUGGAGGCAAGAAAGAAGCCAUCAUUACCGCUAGAUUAUGAGUUUUAAACGAAUUGUCCUAAGAGUUUAAAAACCAUUUUACUGCUCAUUCCUUUUUAUUUAAAUCAAGUAUUGGAGCUCCUCUCCACCAAAUAAUUCUUUCGCAUUCAACUGAAUAGAGCAAAUGAUUAAAUGGGCUGUCAGUGGGCCGAAUGUGUCCACUGACCCAAGAUAAAAGGUGACAGACUCUAAUUAUAUUUUAAAAAUUCCCCUGGCCCACUGAGGUGGCGCCAGCACCUUUUGUUGGUUUAAUUUGCCAGGAUUCUUCAAGCUAGGCCCUCGCUCCGCUCCGCUAGGUGGUGUUAAGUGCUAAAUAAACCCUCUCUCCCUUUUUGUUUUUUCUUCCUA